rnacentral:lncRNA from 1 species
UCUGCUUUCUUUGAUAAGGAUGUCGAAGGUUGAACUGUAGGCAUUGUUUGUGGUGUUAUACGUACUGGAGCUUUGGGUGCUUGUACUGUUUUCAGAAUAUUGCUCCUAUCCUUCUUCCUUUCUCUUUUUAUAAGCAACCCCACCACAUCUUCAACGUUCUUCCACUUUGUUGUCAAUCCUUCAUCUUUUUCUUUGUCUUCAAGAAGGAGUUCUAAUUUCCCUUGCAAU